rnacentral:rRNA from 1 species
GAUCCUGGCUCAGGAUGAACGCUGGCGGCGUGCCUAACACAUGCAAGUCGAGCGAGAAAUCUUGGAAUGAGACUUCGGUUAAGUGAAGAGAUGGAAAGCGGCGGACGGGUGAGUAACGCGUAGGCAACCUGCCUUAUGCAGAGGGAUAGCCAUUGGAAACGAUGAUUAAAAACCUCAUAAUGCCAUUUUAUCACAUGGUGAGAUGGUCAAAGAUUUAUCGGCAUAAGAG